CUUUAAUGGAGAGUUUGAUCCUGGCUCAGGACGAACGCUGGCGGCGUGCCUAAUACAUGCAAGUCGAGCGGGUUUUACCUUCGGGUAAAGCGAGCGGCGGACGGGUGAGUAACACGUAGGCAACCUGCCUGUAAGACUGGGAUAACUACCGGAAACGGUAGCUAAGACCGGAUAAGUGGUCUUCUCGCAUGAGAAGAUCAAGAAACACGGGGCAACCUGUGGCUUACAGAUGGGCCUGCGGCGCAUUAGCUAGUUGGUGGGGUAA
rnacentral:rRNA from 1 species